rnacentral:rRNA from 1 species
UACGUAGGUGACAAGCGUUGUCCGGAUUUACUGGGCGUAAAGGGCGCGUAGGCGGCCUGCUAAGUCGGGCGUGAAAUCCCUGGGCUCAACCCAGGAACUGCGUCCGAUACUGGUUGGCUUGAAUCCGGGAGAGGGAUGCGGAAUUCCAGGUGUAGCGGUGAAAUGCGUAGAUAUCUGGAGGAACACCGGUGGCGAAGGCGGCAUCCUGGACCGGCAUUGACGCUGAGGCGCGAAAGCCAGGGGAGCAAACGGG